CAGGACCCUUUGAGCCAUCAACGUUUCCUUCAGACUUAGAGUCAGCAACAUGCUUCUCAUGCUUAUCCUUCACCUUGGCUGCCUUAGGGACCUAAGGCUGCUUUUCACCAUCACGAAAGAUUAAAUCCACCGGAGGGACUGAGGACUCAGUGCAUUGAUCUCAUUUGACCCUUGAAAAUCUGACCAAGACCAUCCAAUGGGACAAGACUUGAAUACCCUGUGGAGCAGAAGGAGUUCUCAAAGACCCUCAAGCACAAGUGGGGCUGUUCCAGGGACAACCCUGUGGCAAAGACCUAAUGCUAACUCUGCAAAGAGACAGUGUGUUCUCAGGAAUAAACAGAGACAUUUUAAGGGGCAGAUGUGACUCCUGACUUUCUGUAUAUUUGUAAUGCAAAUUGGCCAUUGUUGGUUGGGCUUCCUUCCGAGCAGCCCCGGCCCUGGCUUGUGCAUGGCUCUCUAGCUGAGCCAGGACCUUUCCAGCGACAUUUCUUCCAGUUUGGCACCAGUGUCCCCAGGUGCUCCCAGAAGAAGUCCCUGGGCGGUGGG